rnacentral:rRNA from 1 species
UACGUAGGGCGCAAGCGUUGUCCGGAAUUAUUGGGCGUAAAGAGCUCGUAGGCGGCCUGUUGCGUCCGCUGUGAAAUCCCGGGGCUUAACCCCGGGCCUGCAGUGGAUACGGGCAGGCUGGAGGCAGGCAGGGGAGAACGGAAUUCCCGGUGUAGCGGUGAAAUGCGCAGAUAUCGGGAGGAACACCUGUGGCGAAAGCGGCGCACUGGACCAUAACUGACGCUGAGGCGCGAAAGCUAGGGGAGCAAACAGG